GGGCUGAGCCUGUGUGGCUGGGGAAGCCUCGCUCCGCCUCCUUGAUGACUCAGGUGGCUAUUAGCUGAGCAGAAGGCCCCCCGUGAAGGCAGAGGACGCCCGAGACAGACACAGUCGAAUCAGCUGUGGCUCCCGUGGCAGACUGGAAGCCACUCUAAGAUGACGUGCCAUUAGCUGGGUGCAGAGUGCGUUGGGCUCCAGAGCCCCCAGCCCCAGACGUCUGCCAGUCCAGCCCUCCAGACCUGGGGAGGGUCCUGGGGACGGAGCGGUGGGCUGUGGACUCAGGCAAGUGCUUGGGGUGACUUGUGCACCCCAAAGACACGAGGAGCUAGGAAAGGGGCUUGUCCUAAGACCUGCCAUCUCCGUUCUUUCUCCUGGAAGGAAGAGGCUGGAACCCUGCGUGUACUGGCUCUGGGGGUAGGCCUGGGCAGGACGGGGCUGCCCACAGCUGGGAGGGACUGGCCUCACCAGCCGGGAAUCAGCUAGACAGCGAGUCACACUCUGUGUGCUCUAAAGCGUAGGGAACACGCACACACAUGCCCUAAAAUAAUUCACUGUUUAGCAGGAGAGAAACACUGGGUCAGUUGGUCUCAGACCUCUGUGUGGUUAGUAGCCACAAACUGCUUCCCGAAUACCCAGGCCCAGGGCCUGUUUGGGUGAAGUCCGGGGACUACAGGUUAAUGAGCAUUUUUGGCAAUUCUUAGGUAUGUGGUGUUGGACCACAAGUGGAAAAAUCUGAGAUAAUCAAAUAACAUGUGCAUCAUGUGACAGCCUUUGCACUGCAUGACACGAGACACGACCACAGGUAGCUGCAGAGAUAUUGACCAAUAAUGACGCCCAUCGUGUUUUCCUGUGGUUUCCACUGUGUUGAUAACCAGCUGCCUCGGGCAGGCAGGACUGGCCAUGACUUUACACCUUCCCCUGUGCACUUCUGGGGGAUGAGAGGGGCUCUGACAGCCAGGGCCCGCUUGUUGUGACAGGCUGCAGGGUUUUGCAGCAGCAGCUCACGAGAUACUGGUUCACUGGUGGAUGGAACCGGGCGGGGGUCUCAGCCAGGUGCGAGCUGAGUGUUGGCCCUGGAGGGAGCGGAGGGCUUUCUGUGUGGUAGUUGAUCGCCAGUUCUGCCCGCCAGGUGGUGGUUGCUCCCCUGGGCUUCACUCCGGCUCUCACAGGGGUCGUUAGACCUCGGAGUCAGGCCUUCCAGGACCAAAUGCGGUGUGGCAGCGGCCCCUGUCCCAGCCUACUGGAAAGGGGACCACGGGUGACCGCGUGCCACAGCCGGCCCCACACCUGCAGUUCAGGACCCACCUGUGCAGCGCGGGAAGGCGGGCACGUGUGGCUGGGCGUCUCUGCAGCUCCUCGCGGCUGCCCCGGCUUGCUGGCCUGCAUGCUCUUUCCUCCCCUCGGCUCACUGAGCUUCUUAGCUCAUCAUCGUCUUGCUUAGUUGAGGGUCUGCCGUCCCCGGGUGUGGUGCUGACAGUGCUGGGGAGGAAAGCAUGGAGGGUGACGGGAAGCACAGGUGGAUGGUGGGGGCUGUCCAAGGACGUUGGCUUGGCCACUUACUGGGCAUAGGCUCUGUUUGAAGCUCGGUGGGCCUGUGGACUUGCCUGAGAUGCUGUGUGUCCAAUGUCCCCUGGCGCCCCGUGGGGGACAGGAGAACGGGGAGGGUUCCCGGACGGCGUCCCUCCCACUGGCUCCGGAUGGCGGAGGAGCAUCGUGAGCCCGGCUCAGAGCAGGCCGCGCUGAUAGAUGAGAUUUGGCUCUGCUUUUCCUUCAAAUCAUCUAUUUCUCUUCUGCACAAGUUCUCUGAAUGACAUGUAGAUAAAUUCUGAAAGAUAUUAGUGUCCCCCCUUGAGACAGGAUUUCAUCAUCCUACCUAUUUAACUAAUUUAUUAGUUACAAUUACACCUCAAAAUGGCACCAGCGUCAGCAUAAUCAAAACCUACGUUUCAAUUACUCGUUGAGACUUCAAUCAAGAAGCCCCACUAAAUUAGUAAGAGCGUCAGUGCGAGCGUGAUGAGAACGGCGCGCAUGAGGUGGCGGCCAGCCUUCCUCCGCGCCGGGGUUAAGCCUCCCCUACAGGGUGCUGGGCCCUCCUCCAGGGCUGCCACAGGGUCGCCCGCCCCAGGCCCGCCGGCGGGCAUUCUGUGGGUCCGUGUGAGCCUGCGGGACUCCCACUGGACGACCAGGGAAGAUGCUGGGCUGGGGAGACUGUCGUGCCUCAACUGCAGACAAACUGGGCAGAGAACCCCUGGAGUGGAGUUGGCCGGGGCAGUGCAGGGCUAGGAAGACAUCCUAAUGUGCUUGGGCAUCAGGCCACCCUUCCAGUGUCGUUCUGAGAAACCCAGGGCGCUCCCCGCCGGCUCCUGCCCGUGCCGCCUGCAGGACGCACGUGCGUCGUGGGCAGAGCUGGUUCGGAGCUGCAGCCGCCCUGAGCUCUCAGGACCCAACCUCCUUGGCCCCUCCUGCCCGGCCUUCUGCCCUCCCAGUGCUCACCUCACGUCGGGUGAGGAGACGCUCGCAGGAGCCAGGAAAGAGGUCCCACUGAUGGGGCCCCGGGAGACCCUCCAGUCCCCAGCCGUGGUCUUUGACUCAUUCAGGCAGCUCGGGGCUCGCCUCAGACCCCUGCCCCAUGAAGCAGGCAUCCCAAAGCUGUCGCUUCAUUGGAGACCGAUUCUCAAUGGUUGUUCUGAAUCCCUGUGGCCUUCAGGGGGCAGCCGGAGACCCCGCUGACUGUCCCUGCCCGGCAAGGGACAGGGGUGAGCCUCUGCCUACGGAUCAGGUUGACGGGCAGUGCUCCGAGGGGGCAGGGGCAAGCAAGUCCCUUGUGCCCCUGAUCCCCAGUGUGGGUGGCUUGUGUACCCCACCUCCUGGAGGGGCUCCUGCUCCGUUCUGCAGGCCACCGCGAGCUUGACGGCGUGUGGUUUCCGGGCCGCUGUCAUCUAGCUUUCCUGACCUGCAGCUGCCGCUUCAACAGCCUCUGGCCCUACUGAGGAUGCCCCGGGUCUGGCCCGGGGUGGCUGGAAUGCAGGCAGGGAAGCAUCUCGGCAGUUAAGGGUGCUCCCCGGAAGGGUCACGCGUGGGCAGGGGCACCGCCUGCAGGAGGGACCUCUCCGCCUGGUCAAGGGAAGGUACAGACGCAAGUCUGUGGCUGCCCGACCUCGCUGCUCCCCCUAAGAGGCUCCAGGACCCUGGAAUGCCAGCGGGCAGGAUGCCGCAGAGGAGCCCCAGCCCUGUGUGGAAAGCUGCCAGUGGUGCCAUUUCUGAGAUUUCCUCAACAGGUCUUGAAGAAUUAAAAGACAAAGAAUCUGUGUGAGAUUAAUUUGCUGCCCUUCUGUGCUUGUCAGAAUAUCACUGAAUUGGUGGCUGCCAAUGAACAACACAUCUUUCUGCAGUAUCAUUUAUUUUAUGAUCCUCGAAUCAGAGACUCUGGUACUGAAGCCAACAUAUAUAUUCAAUUUUUAUUAAUAAAACACAGACAAGAAAUGAGACAAUCCAAGUAAGGUUUGCCCUCCAGGGAGUAGCAGGUUUUGGCCCGUUGCUGUCCGUCACUGAUCUCUGUGCAGAACAACAUACGUGCAGGUUUUCUAGGACGCGUUGUUUGAUGUCUUCGUCAAAGGGCCUCAGGAAACAAACGCCCUGCAUGUAUCUCCG